CUCCGGGCAGAGCGCGUGUGGCCGCCGAGCACAUGGGCCCUCGGGCCAGGCGGGCUCGGGGCGGCCGGGACGAGGAGGGGCGACGAGGAGCUGCGAGCAAAGAUGUGCCCCGGGACCCCCGGCACCUUCCAGUGGAUUUCCUUGCGGAAAGGAUGUUGGCGGCCCCUGUGACCUGUGGAGACAUGGCCAGAUCUGCCCUCCAGCCUGAUCUUUUGGCCAGAAGGAGAUUAAAAAGAUGCCCCUCAAGAUGGCGGUGCCUGUCAGCUGCAUGGAGCUUCGUUCAAGUAUUUAAUGAGCCUGAUGGAUUUACAGUGAUCUUUGGUGGUCUGGGGAAUAACGCUGGUGGAACCAUGUACAGGAAUGACACACAUCCGGCACAUUUCAGGAUACUAAAAGUGGUUUUAAGGGAGGCCCUGGCUGAAUGCCUCACGGAUUCUUACAGCUUGGAUGUCCAUGGGGGACGAAGGACCACAGCUGGCUGCGAGGGUUGAGAUCUCUGUUUACUUAGAUCUCUGCCAACUUCCUUUGGGUCUCCCUAUGGAAUGUAAGACCCCGACUCUUCCUGGUGAAGCAUCUGAUGCACGUUCCAUCCGGCGCUCAGCUGGGCUUGAGCUGACCACACUCCCUGGAGCCUUCUCCUGAGGUGCGCGGGUGACCUUGGCACAUACAGCCAUCGUGAUGGUACUUUAAGUGGAGGCUGAAUCAUCUCCCCUUUGAGCUGCUUGGCACGUGGCUCCCUUGGUAUUCACCUUUUACUGCCAGGACACUGAGAUUUGGAGAGAGUCUCAGUCUGUGGUCCAGGCUGGAGUACAGUGGCAUGAUCCCAGGUCACUGCAACCUCCACCUCCCAGGUUCAAGUGAUUCUCCUGCCUCAGCCUCCCGAGUAGCUGGUAUUAUAGGCAUGUGCCACAAAACCUGGCUAAGUUUUAUAUUUUUAGUAGAGACGGGGUUUCACCAUGUUGGCCAGGUUGGUCUCGAACUCCUGACCUCAAGUGAUCCACCCACUUUGGCCUUUCAAUGUGCUGGGAUUAUAGGCGAGAGUCACCGCACCCGGCCGACUUUGACAUUUUUGAAGAGUCCGGAAUCCUGUUACACCUGGGAUUUCGGCACUUCCAAUCUGAGAAAAUACAUAUCCUUUCAGCACUCUGGACGGACUUGAGAACUGUCCUUACCUGACCUAAAGCUGGAGUAUUUUGAGGUUGGAGAAUUAAGAGCCAGUCUUGGUGCUCUGUGUUCACCUGGUUCAUCUGAGGGGCUGCAUCUACCCUGCCCUUGCCAUAGAUCCUGCCCUGUUUGCUUCUCCUGUUGCUGCUAGUGGACAUGAGAAGGACAGAAUAAUGGGCUCCCAGAUUCACAAGCCUCACCAAGAGGAUCACCCCAUGAACCCUUGGAGGCUGAGGAGUUCACUGAGGCUACUGCAUCUUGAGACUCAGGAUGAAGACCCAGCUUGGGGCUGUCAAAGAGGCUUGAAGAGGCAGAACACCCCAGAGGAGCCUGGGGCCACCACACAGCGUCACUGUGGGAAAACGGCAGCAGGAAAUGUCUUCUCACAUGCGCGCUCCACCUCAUUCCGCACCUUCCCUCCUUCUGGAAGCCUUGCCUGACCACUGGCCUGCCCCUUCUAUGGGAAUCACUACUGACCUUGCAGCUUACUAUAGACUUAUAUGUUUUUUGCAUAUCUGACACCCAUGGCUCCACCUGGAACUGAUGGCUCCAUGCAGAAGCAAUUCAGCCCCACAGGAGGACAGCUUCAACCCAUUACGAUUUCAUCUCUGCCCCAACCAAUCAGCAGCAAGCACCUAUUACCUGUCCACCCCAACCCCUUCCUCCAAACUGCUUUUGAAAAAUCCCUAACCUAGGAGCUUUCAACAAGAUGAUAUGAGUACGAACUCCAUCGCCCACGUGGCGUGGCCAGCCUCGUGUCUAUUAAAUUCUUUUUGUACUA